rnacentral:tRNA from 1 species
GCGGGUAUAGAAAAACGGUAACUUCGUUAGUUUUCCAAACUAAAAUUUACGGGUUCGAAUCCCGUUAUCCGCU